AAUUUUGCUUCUUUUGAUAUUAGCAUAUCUACACCUUGCAAAUUGAUAUCUAUUCUUCUAUUUUCAUGCCUUAUUGUUAUCAAGAGUACAAUAUCACUUCGAAAGUUCCUGAUUUUCCCCUUAAUUUCCAGCAUUCCAUUGGGGCAGUGUUGGAAAAACUGAAGAUGACUAACUGAUAUUUACCUGCAACAGAAGCUGGACAACGAUUGACUGUCCGGAGAAGAAACAGAAAGUUAUUCCUCUCUUGGGGAAAGAGUUAACAUUUCUCAAAUUGGAAAACCAAAUAAUAUGGAUUCAUCUACAUUGAUAAGUUUAA